rnacentral:rRNA from 1 species
UACGUAGGGAGCAAGCGUUGUCCGGAAUCAUUGGGCGUAAAGCGCGCGUAGGUGGCUUCGUAAGUCCGUUGUGAAAGUCAAAGGCUCAACCUUUGAAAGCCGAUGGAUACUGCGGAGCUAGAGUACGGAAGAGGCGAGUGGAAUUCCUGGUGUAGCGGUGGAAUGCGCAGAUAUCGGGAGGAACACCCGUAGCGAAGGCGGCACUCUGGGCCGGUACUGACGCUGAGGAGCGAAAGCGUGGGGAGCAAACAGG